rnacentral:misc_RNA from 1 species
GCGCUACUUGAUUGGAAGCACAACUGAACCAAGCAUCCCAGGCAGAGCCACCGUGCCAGAGAAAAUUCUUAACGCUAAACAUGGAGUUUUCUUCUUCUUUCUCUUCCUCUUUGCCCUCAUGCUCUGUCUCGCUGAAGUUGGAGACUAUUGCUUCUUCUGCUUGCUUCUGAGGCAACAUUGUCUUCGUUUUGCUCUAAAGGCAACUACUAAAUCCUGGUAGAUCUCGUUCUGAGAGGUCUCUUUCG